rnacentral:lncRNA from 1 species
CUUGCUCCCUCAAGCCGUUUUCAAUCAGGUGGAGACUGCUCUGCUCAUCCCAGAGGCCUCAGUUAUGGCAGAAUCUGCAGGGGAAGGUUUGUAACAAGCACGCCAGAAGAGUCUCGUGAUGAGGAUAAUUUAGGAACUAUUUGGGUGUCAGAUGAUGACGAGCUAUCCUUGUUUUAAAGCCCCCUGUGCUGCCUGUUGUCUUCACGUCACUCAAACAUUUCGCAUGGCUUGAGAAGUGCUGCCAUGUCUGCACCCGGGAUGUGAACCGGCGAACCCUGGGCCACAGAAGUGGAAUGUGCAAACUCAACCGCUGCACCACCAGAAACAAGCAAGGAGGUACCUGGGCAUAAGCAGCUCAUGAGAUGCAUUUCUCAGGCAAUAUUGUAUGAUUUAAUCGACUCUGGAAGAUGGUCCGUUCAGGCAUGAGGAAGUGUAACAUCCAGCCAGUCUUCGAGCACCGCACUGUAAUGCAGAGUCAGGAAGAACAACUGCCAACUAUUCAUAAACAAGACACCACUGAGAGAAUCCUAGGACAUAAGGGUGAGGCUGAAGCUCUCCCCUGCACCUCAGAGACCAAGACAGACUGCAUUGGAAAGAAGUCCUCGAUCAAUGUUCCAGUCAAUUAGCUUCCUGGUAAUAACUCUCUUCCUGACUUGUGGAUGGACGAUGGAUGGCUUCCUACAGGGUCCUCACAGGCCCUUUGCUUGGCGCUUGUGCACAGAGUGAGACUGAGCUGUGCCUCCUCUUCUCAUCAGUACACCAAUCCUACCAGAUCAAGGCUCCACCCUUCUCAAGGUCACUUAACCUUAAUUACUUCCUUAGAAGCCCCCUCUCCGAAUACACCCGCCCUGGGGUUAGGGCUUCAGCAUAGGAAUUUAGGAGCGACACAAACAUUCAAUCUUUGACAGAUGUAUGUUAUCCACUCUGAGUCAUGUUGUCACCCAUCAAGCCUAGAUUGGAUAAUUUAAGAAGAAAUAAGCUCAUUUGUUACAUUAAAAUCUUUGAAUAUUGACAUACAUAGUGUUGAAAUAAUUUCUGGAAGUUAAUGGUAGUUGCUUAAAUCAAACUCUCUCUAUGCAUCCAUCCCUCAAAAUAUCUAAAUUCAAGAGUAUGCAUGAUGCAUGACUUCAAGG